GUCGUUUUUUUGUGAUUAUUUGAUUGUUUUUAACGUUUUUUGUGUUGUUUUGGACUAUUAAGACUUAAUACCAUGACUAAAAAGUGUCACGUGUGCCAAAGAACGAGUACUACGUCGGAAAAUGUAUAUUUUCAUAGAUUUCCAUCUGAACCUGCUGAAUAAACCAAUUACCAAAAUCUGCACUGAUUUGCUCUGAACAUUUUAAGUCAUCCGACUUUUUUCAGAGUCGAGAUGACAAAAAAUGUCUUAAGCCAGGUUCCCUUCCAAAGUUAGUGGGAUCUCUUUAUGAUAGUUCUUCGACUAGCUUAUUAUCUCAAAGUUUUAACAUCAGUUUGUCACCUUGUGGAUCCAAGCUUACAGAAAAUGAGCCGGUCGCUCGUAAUGUUACUGCGAAAUGUUCACCAGAUAUUGAUCAUGAAUUAUCCUGCAUAGCUGGCCCUUCAGAAAUGAUACAGAGAUCAUCACCUACAUCUUCUAGGACAGCUACUGCCUCUGAAGCUGAAUCAGAGGCCUGUACUAGUGUUUCAGCUGAUCAUUCCACAUUACAGCCCAAGGCAGUUGACGGAGAUAGCCUUCCUGAAGCUAAGGAGGCACUGGUGUUUAUGGUGGUACCCAUCAAUGAUUCUUGAAAAGUGCCUGUUGGGUAUUUUUUUCUAAAUGGGCUUGAAUCUGCUGCUAAAGCAGACUUAGUAAUUAAUUGUAUCAGAUUAAUACUGUGAUGACAGUAAUACUGUGAAUUUAUUUAUGUGAAUAAAUUUAUAUAUUAUUUUAGAAAA